UCGGCUUAGAGUUUGAUCAUGGCCCAGAUUGAACGCUGGCGGCAGGCUUAACACAUGCAAGUCGAACGGUAAAGUAGCUUGCUACUUACGAGUGGCGGACGGGUGAGUAACGUAUGGGAAUUUACCGAAUGGAGGGGGACAACAGUUGGAAACGGCUGCUAAUACCGCAUAACGUCGAGAGACCAAAGGGUUUCGACUUGCCAUUUGAUGAGCCCAUAUGAGAUUAGCUAGUUGGUGUGGUAAUGGCUCACCAAGGCGACGAUCUCUAGCUGGUUUGAGAGGAUGACCAGCCA
rnacentral:rRNA from 1 species